rnacentral:rRNA from 1 species
UACGUAGGGGGCAAGCGUUGUCCGGAAUUAUUGGGCGUAAAGAGCGUGUAGGCGGUCCGGUAAGUCAGCUGUGGAAGUCAAGGGCUCAACCCUUGAAAGCCGGUUGAUACUGUCGGGCUAGAGUCCGGAAGAGGCGAGUGGAAUUCCCGGUGUAGCGGUGAAAUGCGCAGAUAUCGGGAGGAACACCAAUGGCGAAGGCAGCUCGCUGGGACGGUACUGACGCUGAGACGCGAAAGCGUGGGGAGCAAACAGG